GACGAACGCUGGCGGCGUGCUUAACACAUGCAAGUCGAACGGAAAGGCCCUGCUUUUGUGGGGUGCUCGAGUGGCGAACGGGUGAGUAACACGUGAGUAACCUGCCCUUGACUUUGGGAUAACUUCAGGAAACUUGGGCUAAUACCGGAUAUGAGCUCCUGCUGCAUGGUGGGGGUUGGAUAGUUUCGGCGGUUGGGGAUGGACUCGCGGCUUAUCAGCUUGUUGGUGGGGUAGUGGCUUACCAAGGCUUUGACGGGUAGCCGGCCUGAGAGGGUGACCGGCCACAUUGGGACUGAGAGACGGACCAGAGUCCUACGGGAGGCAGCAGUGGGGAAUAUUGCACAGUGGGCGGAAGCCUGAUGCAGCAACGCCGCGUGCGGGAUGACGGCCUUCGGGUUGUAAACAGCUUUCGCCUGUGAAGAAGCGGGAGUGACGGUAAUGGAUAAAGAAGCACCGGCUAACUACGUG
rnacentral:rRNA from 1 species